rnacentral:rRNA from 1 species
UACGUAGGGGGCAAGCGUUGUCCGGAAUCAUUGGGCGUAAAGAGCGUGUAGGCGGCUCGGUAAGUCCGCUGUGAAAGCCCAGGGCUCAACCCUGGAAUGCCGGUGGAAACUGUCGAGCUAGAAUCCGGAAGAGGCGAGUGGAAUUCCUGGUGUAGCGGUGAAAUGCGCAGAUAUCAGGAGGAACACCAAUGGCGAAGGCAGCUCGCUGGGACGGUAUUGACGCUGAGACGCGAAAGCGUGGGGAGCAAACAGG